rnacentral:rRNA from 1 species
GGAAGAUCGGGAAAGAAGGGGGGUCUUUAGGGGUCGUUCACAGGUGGUGCCGGGCGUUGUUAGCCCGGGUGUUUAGAGGUUGGGUUAAGUCCCGCAAAGAGCGCAAACCUCCUUCGCCGUUGCCAGCCCGUUAUGGCGGGGACUCUUGGGAGACCGCCGGUGUCAAAUCGGAGGAAGGUGGGGAUGACGUCAAGUCAUCAUGCCCCUUAUGUCCAGGGCUACACACAUGCUACAAUGGCCGGUACAAAGGGGUGCGAAACCGCGAGGUGGAGCGAAUCCCAAAAAGCCGGUCUCAAUUCGGAUUGGGGUUUGCAACUUGCCCC